rnacentral:rRNA from 1 species
UACAGAGGGUGCAAGCGUUAAUCGGAAUUACUGGGCGUAAAGCGAGCGUAGGUGGCUUGAUAAGUCAGAUGUGAAAUCCCCGGGCUUAACCUGGGAACUGCAUCUGAUACUGUCAAGCUAGAGUAGGUGAGAGGAAGGUAGAAUUCCAGGUGUAGCGGUGAAAUGCGUAGAGAUCUGGAGGAAUACCGAUGGCGAAGGCAGCCUUCUGGCAUCAUACUGACACUGAGGCUCGAAAGCGUGGGUAGCAAACAGG